rnacentral:rRNA from 1 species
UACGGGGGAUGCAAGCGUUAUCCGGAUUUAUUGGGUUUAAAGGGUGCGUAGGCGGAUAUGUAAGUCAGCGGUGAAACUCACAGGCUCAACCUGUGCCGUACCGUUGAAACUGUGUAUCUGGAAUGCGGAUGCUGUGGGAGGAAUGUGUAGUGUAGCGGUGAAAUGCAUAGAUAUUACACAGAACACCGAUUGCGAAGGCAUCCCACAAAGCCGUUAUUGACGCUGAGGCACGAAAGUGUGGGGAUCAAACAGGAUUAGA